rnacentral:rRNA from 1 species
CUCGUAGGCGGUUCGUCGCGUCCGGUGUGAAAGUCCAUCGCUUAACGGUGGAUCCGCGCCGGGUACGGGCGGGCUUGAGUGCGGUAGGGGAGACUGGAAUUCCCGGUGUAACGGUGGAAUGUGUAGAUAUCGGGAAGAACACCAAUGGCGAAGGCAGGUCUCUGGGCCGUUACCGACGCUGAGGAGCGAAAGCGUGGGGAGCGAACA